AUUGAACGCUGGCGGCAGGCCUAACACAUGCAAGUCGAACGAGUGGCGGACGGGUGAGUAAUGUCUGGGAAACUGCCUGAUGGAGGGGGAUAACUACUGGAAACGGUCGCUAAUACCGCAUACCAUCAUUUGUGCCCAGAGGGGAUUAGCUUGUUGGUGGGGUAACGGCUCACCAAGGCGACGAUCCCUAGCUGGUCUGAGAGGAUGACCAGCAACACUGGAACUGUGACACGGCCCGGACUCUUACGGGAGGCAGCAGUGGGGAAUAUUGCACAAGGGGCGCAAGCCUGAUGCAGCCAUGCCGCGGGUAGGAAGAAGGCCUUCGGGUUGUAAAGUACGUUCAGCGGGGAGGCGUUACCCGCAGAAGAAGCACCGGCUAACUCCGUGCCAGCAGCCGCGGUAAUAC
rnacentral:rRNA from 1 species